UAAUUAUUUCUUUUCUCCCAUUCUCUUCUCCUUUCUCGCGACUCUCUCUCUCUCGACGGAACCCGCGAGACAAACCUCAAAUCCAUCUCAAAUCCAUAGUUUUUCAAUCGAUUCACACCUCAAAUCCACAGUUUUUCAAUCGAUUCACCUCAAUCUUCUCCUGAAUAUGUUCAUCAAGCCAUAGUUGAUGAACGGUUUGCAGGGAUGUCAAAGGAAGAAGCUUCUACCAUAUUAAUUCAGACUACAUUUAGGGGCUAUUUGUCCAAAGCACAAGUCGAAGCGGGUAUGUUGCACAAGUACGAGGCAACAAUGAGAAGAGAGAGCAUUAGCUUAUGCAUUCACACAUCAGGUGUGACUUUGUAACUUUCCUACUCCGUGAAGAAAACAAGCUAACCAAAUCAGCUGUGAUGGUUACUGCUGGUGCCAAUCAGUUGUUUAAACAGGUUAUUGUGGUGAGUCUACAAUGGUAUAAACUGUUAAUGAGAUUCACUACAAGUUGAAUCAAAGUGCUUCAGGUUAGAAGCCAAGAUGAUUCUGUUUUUUUUUCUGCAUAUGAUUCAAGUAAAUUGAAGAUGAGGUCGUGAGAGAGAGUUGGAGCCAUAUGGAGCCGCAUUAUGUAGCACACAAUGUAGCUAGAAGGGUGAGUGAAAACAUGUAAAAGCUUUAUAGCUUUGGGGAGUGUUUUUCUCAUUAGAACUUAGGUUGAUACAAAGAGUGUUCAUAGGUGGUGUCACAUUGACACUACUGAACUCUUUAAAUGUGUGUGCUCCCAUCUUCUUCUCUACUCUUUUCUCUAAUCCCUCUGUGCUUUGUUUUUGGCUGCAACAAACAAAAAGCUU